rnacentral:rRNA from 1 species
UACGUAGGGGGCAAGCGUUGUCCGGAAUCAUUGGGCGUAAAGAGCGUGUAGGCGGCCCGGUAAGUCCGCUGUGAAAGUCCAGGGCUCAACCCUGGGAUGCCGGUGGAUACUGUCGGGCUCGAGUCCGGAAGAGGAGUGUGGAAUUCCUGGUGUAGCGGUGAAAUGCGCAGAUAUCAGGAGGAACACCAAUGGCGAAGGCAGCACUCUGGGACGUGACUGACGGCUGAGACGCGAAAGCGUGGGGAGCAAACAGGGAUUAAGA